rnacentral:rRNA from 1 species
ACGGCUCAGUAACACGUCGGUAACCUACCCUCGGGAGGGGGAUAACCCCGGGAAACUGGGGCUAAUUCCCCAUAGGCCUGAGGUACUGGAAGGUCCUCAGGCCGAAAGGGACUUAUGUCCGCCCGAGGAUGGGCCGGCGGCCGAUUAGGUAGUUGGUGGGGUAAUGGCCCACCAAGCCGAAGAUCGGUACGGGCUGUGAGAGCAGGAGCCCGGAGAUGGACACUGAGACACGGGUCCAGGCCCUACGGGGCGCAGCAGGCGCGAAACCUCCGCAAUGCGGGAAACCGCGACGGGGGGACCCCGAGUGCCGUGGCAACGCCACGGCUUUUCCGGAGUGUAAAAAGCUCCGGGAAUAAGGGCUGGGCAAGGCCGGUGGCAGCCGCCGCGGUAAUACCGGCGGCCCGAGUGGUGGCCGCUAUUAUUGGGCCUAAAGCGUCCGUAGCCGGGCCCGUAAGUCCCUGGCGAAAUCCCACGGCUCAACCGUGGGGCUUGCUGGGGAUACUGCGGGUCUUGGGACCGGGAGAGGCGGGGGGUACCCCUGGGGUAGGGGUGAAAUCCUAUAAUCCCAGGGGGACCGCCAGUGGCGAAGGCGCCCCGCUGGAACGGGUCCGACGGUGAGGGACGAAGGCCGGGGGAGCAAACCGGAUUAGAUACCCGGGUAGUCCUGGCUGUAAAGGAUGCGGGCUAGGUGUCGGGUGAGCCUCGAGCUCGCCCGGUGCCGUAGGGAAGCCGUUAAGCCCGCCGCCUGGGGAGUACGGCCGCAAGGCUGAAACUUAAAGGAAUUGGCGGGGGAG